rnacentral:rRNA from 1 species
UACGUAGGUCGCAAGCGUUGUCCGGAUUUACUGGGCGUAAAGAGCGCGCAGGCGGCUGGUCAAGUCCGAUGUGAAAUCUCCCGGCUCAACUGGGAAACUGCAUCGGAAACUGAUCGGCUUGAAGAUGGGAGAGGGUAGUGGAAUUCCCGGUGUAGUGGUGAAAUGCGUAGAUAUCCGGAGGAACACCGGUGGCGAAGGCGGCUUCCUGGACCGACACUGACGCUGAGGCGCGAAAGCCAGGGGAGCAAACGGG